rnacentral:lncRNA from 1 species
AUAGAAAUUAGAGACCAAGUAUAUGAUGAGAAGGGCAAUACAGUCACAAUCACUGUUGUUUGUUGUAAUCCUGAAAAACUUCGUGACAAAUUGUGUAGUAAAGGAUGUGGAGUAAUCAAAAGAAUUGAAAUCAAAGACCCUCCGAAGCCCAAACCUCCUGAAAAGCCCAAAGAGCCCGAAAAGCCCAAACAACCUGAAAAGCCUAAAGAACCUGAAAAACCUAAGCCCAAAGAGCCCGAAAAGCCUAAACCCAAAGAGCCUGAAAAGCCCAAAGAGCCUGAAAAGCCUAAAGAGCCCGAAAAACCUAAGCCCAAAGAGCCCGAAAAGCCCAAAGAAGGUCCUAA